rnacentral:misc_RNA from 1 species
UUAAGUUCAGCGGGUAUUCCUACCUGAUCCGAGGUCAACCUUGAUAAGUUUGGUUGUUUCACGGCCGGAACCCGCCGCCACGCCCAGAGAGAAGAGUAUUACUGCACUCGGGGUGACAACGAGCCCGCCACUGCAUUCCGGGGGCUGCGGACGGCCGCAGGGCCCCAACACAAGCCGUGGGGCUUGAUGGUUGAAAUGAC